rnacentral:lncRNA from 1 species
AUGCUUGAAAAAGGAAAUGAGGAUUUCAAAGAAGAGAUUUUUAAACUACACAAUAAGAUUUUUCAUCUUGAAAAUGCUCUGAAACGCUCUGAAAAAGAAAAUUGUUUAUUAGAUAAGCAAGUUCAAAGAAUGCAAUUAAAACUGGAAACUGAUGAGCGAACUAUUCAAAAGUUAAUUGAAAUUCAAGAACAAAUGAAGGCAGAAAUUGAAAAUGAAAGAUCAUUAGUUAAAAGUCUGACUUCAGGACUGCAAGUAGAAGAAAACGAAGUUAAAAAAAACAAACUGCCAGUGCAAAGUGAAACUGAAAAUAUAAUGCCUGAGGAGAAAAGAGAAUUCCAAAAGGACCAUCUUACAAAACAAAAGAAAGAGCUGACUGACAAGAUAACAUAUGUAGCACCUGAUCAGGAAGCUGCUAAAAGAACACUGACUGCUGAAAAUGAUAAACUGAAGCAAUAUAAAGGUCAAGAAUGGCAAACCGUAGAAAGCCCUAGAAAAACAACUGAGCAAAGUAAUAUAAUAUGGAAAAAGAAAUUCCAGAUUCUACAAAAGAGCUUGCAUGCCAUUAAGGAUGAGAUGUUUCUUAGGCAAACCCUGCAACGUCGGUUAUUUGUGUUUAAAAGUACAUCCCUCAGUGAGACACCUCCAAUACAAUCCCAGUCUACUGAACAGCAGAAAGAAGGUGAAGAUAAUUUUCUUAGACUUACAAAUGCAACAAAAAAGGACAGUGUGUUUGAAGAUGCAGGACAGCAUGCAACAAGAAGGAAAAGGAUGUGA